GACGAACCGUGCGAACGUUGUUCGGAAUCACUGGGCUUAAAGGGCGCGUAGGCGGGCUGCCAAGUCUGGGGUGAAAUCCCACGGCUCAACCGUGGAACUGCCUCGGAUACUGGCGGCCUCGAGGGGGGUAGGGGCGUGCGGAACUGUGGGUGGAGCGGUGAAAUGCGUUGAUAUCGGAAGGAACGCCGGUGGCGAAAGCGACGGACUGGAUCUCUUCUGACGCUGAGGCGCGAAAGCCAGGGGAGCAAACGGG
rnacentral:rRNA from 1 species